AGCCCUGAGGUGUAAAACAUGCUAGAUUGCAAAUCUUGAGUAGCGGAGUAAAGUCUGCCGGGGCUU
rnacentral:tRNA from 1 species